UAGAGUUUGAUCAUGGCUCAGGACGAACGCUGGCGGCGUGCCUAAUACAUGCAAGUCGAGCGGGCCCUUCGGGCUAGCGGCGGACGGGUGAGUAACACGUAGGCAACCUGCCUGUAAGAUGGGGAUAACUAUCGGAAACGAUAGCUAAGACCGAAUAAGUAGCCCGGGCGCAUGCCGGGGCUAAGAAACACGGAGCAAUCUGUGGCUUACAGAUGGGCCUGCGGCGCAUUAGCUAGUUGGCAGGGUAACGGCCUACCAGGGCGACGAUGCGUAGCCGACCUGAGAGGGUGAACGGCCACACUGGGACUGAGACACGGCCCAGACUCCUACGGGAGGCAGCAGUAGGGAAUCUUCCGCAAUGGACGCAAGUCUGACGGAGCAACGCCGCGUGAGUGAUGAAGGUUCUCGGAUCGUAAACCUCUGUCUAGAGGGAAGAUAAUGACGGUACCUCUGGAGGAAGCCACGGCUAACUACGUGCCAGCAGCCGCGGUAAUAC
rnacentral:rRNA from 1 species